rnacentral:rRNA from 1 species
CCAACAGGGAUUGCCCUAGUAACGGCGAGUGAAGCGGCAACAGCUCAAAUUUGAAAUCUGGCUCUUUUAGAGUCCGAGUUGUAAUUUGCAGAGGGCGCUUUGGCUUUGGCAGCGGUCCAAGUUCCUUGGAACAGGACGUCACAGAGGGUGAGAAUCCCGUACGUGGUCGCUGGCUAUUGCCGUGUAAAGCCCCUUCGACGAGUCGAGUUGUUUGGGAAUGCAGCUCUAAAUGGGAGGUACAUUUCUUCUAAAGCUAAAUAUUGGCCAGAGACCGAUAGCGCACAAGUAGAGUGAUCGAAAGAUGAAAAGCACUUUGGAAAGAGAGUCAAACAGCACGUGAAAUUGUUGAAAGGGAAGCGCUUGCAGCCAGACUUGCUUACAGUUGCUCAUCCGGGCUUUUGCCCGGUGCACUCUUCUGUAGGCAGGCCAGCAUCAGUUUGGGCGGUAGGAUAAAGGUCUCUGUCACGUACCUCCUCUUGGGGAGGCCUUAUAGGGGAGACGACAUACUACCAGCCUGGACUGAGGUCCGCGCAUCUGCUAGGAUGCUGGCGUAAUGGCUGUAAGCGGCCCGUCUUGAAACACGGACCAAGGAGUCUAACAUCUAUGCGAGUGUUUGGGUGUCAAGCCCGAACGCGUAAUGAAAGUGAACGGAGGUGGGAACCCGCAAGGGUGCACCAUCGACCGAUCCUGAUGUCUUCGGAAGGAUUUGAGUAAGAGCAUGGCUGUUGGGACCCGAAAGAUGGUGAACUAUGCUUGAAUAGGGUGAAGCCAGAGGAAACUCUGGUGGAGGCUCGCAGCGGUUCUGACGUGCAAAUCGAUCGUCAAAUUUGGGCAUAGGGGCGAAAGACUAAUCGAACUAUCUAGUA